rnacentral:rRNA from 1 species
CCUACGGGAGGCAGCAGUGGGGAAUAUUGGGCAAUGGAGGCAACUCUGACCCAGCAAUGCCGCGUGAGUGAUGAAGGUAAUUUUAUUGUAAAGCUCUUUUCUUUGGAACGAAUAAAUGACGGUACCAAAGGAAUAAGCCCCGGCUAACUACGUGCCAGCAGCCGCGGUCAUACGUAGGGGGCAAGCGUUGUUCGGAAUGCCUGGGCGUAACGGGUGUGUAGGUGGUUUGAUAAGUUAGAUGUGUAAUACCCAGGGCUUAACUGGGGUGCUGCAUCUAACACUGUUAGACUUGAGUACUGGAGAGGAAAGUGGAAUUCCUAGUGUAGCGGUGGAAUGCGUAGAUAUUAGGAGGAACAUCAGUGGCGAAGGCGACUAUCUGGACAGCAACUGACACUGAGGCACGAAAGCGUGGGGAGCAAACAGGAUUAGAUACCCGGGUAGUC